UGGGGAAUAUUGGGCAAUGGGCGCAAGCCUGACCCAGCAACGCCGCGUGAAGGAAGAAGGCUUUCGGGUUGUAAACUUCUUUCUCAGGGGACGAACAGAUGACGGUACCUGAGGAAUAAGCCACGGCUAACUACGUGCC
rnacentral:rRNA from 1 species